CCAAUAGCGUAUAUUAAAGUUGUUGCAGUUAAAAAGCUCGUAGUUGAAUUUCGGGAUCAAUAUGUCGGUCGUGCCUCCGGUACGUACUGGCAUUAUUGGUUUCUCCCUUCUGACGAACCACGAUGUCAUUAAUUUGGUGUCAUGGGGAAUCAGGACUGUUACUUUGAAAAAAUUAGAGUGUUUAAAGCAGGCUCACGCUUGAAUACAUUAGCAUGGAAUAAUGAAAUAGGACGUUUGAUUCUAUUUUGUUGGUUUCUAGGAUCGACGUAAUGAUUAAUAUGGAUAGUUGGGGGCAUUAGUAUUCAAUUGUCAGAGGUGAAAUUCUUGGAUUUAUUGAAGACUAACUACUGCGAAAGCAUUUGCCAAGGAUGUUUUCAUUAAUCAAGAACGAAAGUUAGGGGAUCGAAGACGAUCAGAUACCGUCGUAGUCUUAACCAUAAACUAUGCCGACUAGGGAUCGGAUGAUGUUAAUUUUUUAAUGACUCAUUCGGCGCCUUACG
rnacentral:rRNA from 1 species